rfam:Otolemur garnettii contig110472, whole genome shotgun sequence.
UAAAAGGAGCUUCUCAUCUCCACUGCAUACUUACAUUGCAGUAUUGU